rnacentral:tRNA from 1 species
GGGUAUAGCUCAGUGGUAGAGUGCAUGCCUAGCAUGCACAAGGUCCUGGGUUCAAUCCCCAGUACCUCCA